rnacentral:rRNA from 1 species
UGGGGAAUACUGGGCAAUGGAGGAAACUCUGACCUGGCGACGUCGCGUGGCUGAUGAAGGUUUUAGGACUGUAAAGGCCUUUUACUCGGAAAAAUGAUGAUUCUACCGAGAGAAGAAGUCCCGGCUAACUUCGUGCCAGCAGCCGCGGUAAUACGAGGGGGACAAGUGUUGUUCGGAAUGAUUGGGCGUAAAGGGUGCGUAGGCGGCCGUGUAAGUGAUGUGUGAAAGCCUCAGGCUCAACCUGAGAAGUGCGCUUCAUACUGCACGGCUAGAGUUCGAUAGAGGAAACGGGAAUUCCUAGUGUAGAGGUGAAAUUCACAGAUAUUAGGAGGAACACCAAAGGCGAAGGCAAGUUUCUGGGUCGACACUGACGCUGAGGCACGAAAGCGUGGGUAGCAAACAGG